GUAUGUGUCUAUUAAUAUGUGUGUGUUUUGAUAACUGAAUUACUUUAUUUUUAGUGAAAUGGAAAAGAAGAAAAGAGAUUUGGCUUCAGAUGAAUUUUUGGAAUGUUCAUAGCUGCACCAAUGAUACAACUAAUGAAUGUCUACCACCGGUCUCAAUUUAAGAGCUUAAUAAUGUCAAAGAAAUGCCUUUAAUUGAUACGUAAACAACAAAAAUGAAUUAUUCAGAUAACGACCUCGUCAACAUAACUAGUAACGGAAACGACCUGAGUGACACUUUGUUAACUAUAUUAUUUUUUGACACCAUUUUGUUGACUUUCUAUCUCUUAAUCGGUGUUUCAGUUAACGUUUGUGCUGUUUUUCUUCUCAGGAGAGCGGUUCGCAGGACAACUGACUUUCUCGGGGAAGAUAACGUGAGAUAUCAAACAUUUUUCGUAAUGAUUGAGUUAACAGCAUGUGUUAUAGGAACGUCGAGUUUUAUAGCAAUUAACACUAAUCCAGUUGAUUUUUACGGCGAAUCACUUUGUACACUAAUGUUAGGAAGUAACAUGUUGUUUGCAAACUUAUCUGGAUCAUCAAUCGUACAUUAUCAUAUAACGAGUUUUUUUCGAUAUAUGUUAGUUUUCAUAAGACACAAACAAAUGAUGAUAUUAAGGUACAGCGGUGUAGUAUUUGCCUUAUUUUUUUCAAUUCCGUCCUUCAUAUUCUACGGGGAAACCGAUAUAGACUUUGAAAUCCAGAACAUAACCGUUUCGGGAAAAAUUUGUGGGGUCUCGAGAAAAGCUGACAAUUAUUCAUUUGUUCAAGCAUACCCGAUCGUUGUAUUGACAAUUUAUAUUAUUGAGUUUUUAUUCAUUGUUUUUGUAAGUAUUUUGGUAAAAGAUAGGUUAUCAUCAGGUUUACCAUUAAGGACAAACAAAAAAACAAGAAUACAGCCAGGCUUUAAAUAUACUUCGACGUCAAAAAUAAGAGUCGUCAAUAGUGGAACAGUUGAUAACUCAAAACCUCCAGACAAUUCCAAAAUCAUUGACCUUUAUGCAGACAAAGAUUGUUCAGUCGUAGACUUGGAUGUGCUGACUUGCAGUUCUUGUAAUGAAACAAAACGGAAAACUUGUGACAGGUUAUUAGCAUCAAAUUAUGAUUUGAUAAUGGAUCAAAAAAUAUGCGUUUCUGAUAACACGAAAUCAAGUAAUCAGACUCCUGUCGAGCCUGAGUACAUGAAAAUUAAAACAACGAAAGAAUGUUGUAUAUCUUGUCAUAAAAAAAUCUGUUUUCGUAAAGCACCAUCUUUUUUCAGUGGAAUCAUUUUAUUUGCUACAUCGACACUACCAAGAGCUAUUAUAAUGAUUCUUGAAUCUAACGAUAAAAACUUUUGGAGCAAACUGAGCAAAACAGAGUACAUGUUAUACAACUUUCUCUAUCGAGUUUAUUUAUUACAAUGCGUAUUGCAUCCAUUUAUCUAUUAUUGGUAUGCUAUGAAAGGUCAAUUCAAAAGAGAAAUUCGAAGAUGCAGAUUGAGAAAUAUAGAUUCCACACUCCAAGAAGUACAUUACGAUAUUUCUACACUCGAGACAGUUCAAUUGUAAUAUUUAAAGGGCGAGGCUUGCCGAGAAAAUUUAAAAAGUAUUUAUUAUUACAAAUAUAAAACUUCAAUUUUAGGUUUAAGUUUAAUUAAUCUUGAUAACAUUAAAUUUACAGCGUUUAUUUCUUUUUUAAUUUACGCAAAUUAUUAUAUAUAUAAUUUAGAUAUCUGUUUCACAUUAGACAUGUUAGAUUUAUAACA
rnacentral:lncRNA from 1 species